rnacentral:rRNA from 1 species
UACGGAGGGGGCUAGCGUUGUUCGGAAUCAUUGGGCGUAAAGGGCGCGUAGGCGGCCGGCCAAGUCGGGUGUGAAAUCCCUCGGCUCAACCGAGGAACUGCACUCGAUACUGGCUGGCUAGAGUCCGGGAGGGGAUGGUGGAAUUCCCAGUGUAGCGGUGAAAUGCGUAGAUAUUGGGAAGAACACCGAUGGCGAAGGCAGCCAUCUGGACCGGCACUGACGCUGAGGCGCGAAAGCGUGGGGAGCAAACAGG